AUUUUCAAAGACAGAGAACGAAGAAGAAUAUUUGAACUUGGAAAGGCAGCUUUAUGGUCCUGGGAUAGCAGAUUAACGAUGUGAAUUUGUACCAGCUAUACUACGUGCCGUAGGGUACCUCAAAUUCACUAAACCUCGCGAGAAUGACUCGGAUUUCGCCAUUUUUUAGUAUUUGUCGAUUAUAACUUUUUGUUUAUUACUUAAAUAUAUGCUUAACCACU